GAUCGCUUGCUUCUCACCUGUGAUCCCUCAAUACUGCACUCACUCCAUAACGCGUCAUAACCUCCCCAGGCAUCACUCAGACCGUCCCCUCUCCCCUGCCCCCGAUGGGCCACUCAAGUCAUGUCUCCUAGCAACUCUUCCCAUGAAGCAUUUGCUGCAGGCUCCUGAUUCUCCACACGCAGCGUGGCACAUGGACCCAGAUCCAGCAGUUCACCACUGUGCCCACAACAGACCCAGACGCUCCGAUGACCGAGAGGAGGGACUGAGGCCCUGGCCCUGGCCUGCCCUGCCCUCCCUCUCCAAGCUCCUCUUACUCUUUGCUGUGACCAUGGUGCCUCUCUGCCUGGGGACCUGCAUGUGGCAAUUCCCUCUUGUUACUCCAUCUUUGCCACACACCAUACCUGGACCAGCUGGAGGUGGCCACAGCACUGCCUUGUUGUAGUCAGGAUAAAAAUGACAGCCAAAGAGGUACAGAAGGGAAUUAGAGUCCAGCAAAACCCAGUGUCUGUAUACUGUAGUCCAUAAAAAUAGGACUUUCAAAUCCUUUCCACCUACCCACGGUGUUUGCUCCUGUGCAAAUAUCUAGUGCACGUCUAACCCUGAACCACCCUUCCCAAGGCCUCAAAGAAAC
rnacentral:lncRNA from 1 species